GACGAACGCUGGCGGCGUGCCUAAUACAUGCAAGUUGAGCGCUGAAGGUUGGUACUUGUACCGACUGGAUGAGCAGCGAACGGGUGAGUAACGCGUGGGGAAUCUGCCUUUGAGCGGGGGACAACAUUUGGAAACGAAUGCUAAUACCGCAUAAAAACUUUAAACACAAGUUUUAAGUUUGAAAGAUGCAAUUGCAUCACUCAAAGAUGAUCCCGCGUUGUAUUAGCUAGUUGGUGAGGUAAAGGCUCACCAAGGCGAUGAUACAUAGCCGACCUGAGAGGGGGAUCGGCCCCAUUGGGACUGAGACACGGCCCAAACUCCUACGGGAGGCAGCAGUAGGGAAUCUUCGGCCAUGGACGAAAGUCUGACCGAGCAACGCCGCGUGAGUGAAGAAGGUUUUCGGAUCGUAAAACUCUGUUGGUAGAGAAGAACGUUGGUGAGAGUGGAAAGCUCAUCAAGUGACGGUAACUACCCAGAAAGGGACGGCUAACUACGUG
rnacentral:rRNA from 1 species